rnacentral:rRNA from 1 species
UAAGACGAACCGAGCGAACGUUGUUCGGAAUCACUGGGCUUAAAGGGCGCGUAGGCGGGCUGUCAAGUCUGGGGUGAAAUCCCGCGGCUCAACCGUGGAACUGCCUCAGAUACUGACGGCCUCGAGGGAGGUAGGGGCGAGCGGAACUGUGAGUGGAGCGGUGAAAUGCGUUGAUAUUCACAGGAACUCCGGUGGCGAAGGCGGCUCGCUGGACCUUUUCUGACGCUGAGGCGCGAAAGCUAGGGGAGCAAACGG